GGAUGAACGUUGGCGGCGUGCCUAAUACAUGCAAGUCGAACGAAGACUGUAGUAAUACUGUCUUAGUGGCGAACGGGUGAGUAACGCGUGGGUGACCUGCCCCGAAGUGUGGGAUAACAGUCCGAAAGGAUUGCUAAUACUGCAUAAUAUCCAAGAGAUUAGAUGCUUUUGGAUUAAAGGUGAAAAUCACUUCGGGAGGGGCCUGCGUCCCAUCAGCUAGUUGGUAAGGUAAUGGCUUACCAAGGCGAUGACGGGUAGGGGACCUGAGAGGGUGGCCCCCCACAAUGGAACUGAAACACGGUCCAUACACCUACGGGUGGCAGCAGUAGGGAAUAUUGCAAAUGGGCGAAAGCCUGAUGUAGCAACGCCGCGUGUGCGAUGAAGGUCUUCGGAUUGUAAAGCACUUUUUGGAGGGAUGAGGAAGGACAGUACCUCCAGAAUAAGCCUCGGCUAACUACGUGCCAGCAGCCGCGGUAACACGUAGGAGGCAAGCGUUAUUCGGAUUUACUGGGCGUAAAGCGCGUGCAGGCGGUUUGGAAAGUUGGAUGUGAAAGCUCCUGGCUCAACUGGGAGAGGUCGUUCAAAACUUCCAGACUUGAGAGUGGUAGAGGGAGGUGGAAUUCCGGGUGUAGUGGUGAAAUGCGUAGAUAUCCGGAGGAACACCAGUGGCGAAAGCGGCCUCCUGGACCACUUCUGACGCUCAGACGCGAAAGCUAGGGUAGCAAACGGGAUUAGAGACCCCGGUAGUCCUAGCUGUAAACGAUGUGAACUUGGCGUUGGUGGGUUUAAAUCCAUCAGUGCCGAAGCUAACGCGAUAAGUUCACCGCCUGGGGACUACGGCCGCAAGGUUAAAACUCAAAGGAAUUGACGGGGCCCCGCACAAGCAGCGGAGCGUGUGGUUUAAUUCGAUGCUACACGAAGAACCUUACCAGGGUUUGACAUGCAAGUGGUAGAGAAGCGAAAGCGGAUCGACCCCUCGG
rnacentral:rRNA from 1 species